GGGGCUGUAGCUCAAUUGGGAGAGCGUUUGACUGGCAGUCAAAAGGUCGGGAGUUCGAGCCUCCCCAGCUCCACCA
rnacentral:tRNA from 2 species